rnacentral:lncRNA from 1 species
ACAUCUUUCAGUUAACAUUCCCCAAUAGACAUCUUUCAGGUCACAUUCACCAAUAGACAUCUUUCAGGUCACAUUCCCCAAUAGACAUCUUUCAGGUCACAUUCACCAUUAGACAUCUUUCAGGUCACAUUCCCCAUUAGACAUCUUUCAGGUCACAUUCACCAUUAGACAUCUUUCAGGUCACAUUCACCAAUAGACAUCUUUCAGGUCACAUUCACCAUUAGACAUCUUUCAGGUCACAUUCACCAAUAGACAUCUUUCAGGUCACAUUCACCAAUAGACAUCUUUCAGGUCACAUUCACCAAUAGACAUCUUUCAGGUCACAUUCCCCAAUAGACAUCUUUCAGGUCACAUUCACCAAUAGACAUCUUUCAGGUCACAUUCCCCAAUAGACAUCUUUCAGUUCACAUUCCCCAUCUUUCAGGUCACAUUCACCAAUAGACAUCUUUCAGGUCACAUUCCCCAAUAGACAUCUUUCAGGUCACAUUCCCCAUUAGACAUCUUUCAGGUCACAUUCCCCAUUAGACAUCUUUCAGGUCACAUUCACCAAUAGACAUCUUUCAGGUCACAUUCCCCAAUAGACAUCUUUCAGUUCACAUUCCCCAUCUUUCAGGUCACAUUCCCCAAUAGACAUCUUUCAGUUCACAUUCCCCAUCUUUCAGGUCACAUUCCCCAAUAGACAUCUUUCAGGUCACAUUCCCCAAUAGACAUCUUUCAGGUCACAUUCACCAUUAGACAUCUUUCAGGUCACAUUCCCCAAUAGACAUCUUUCAGGUCACAUUCACCAUCUUUCAGGUCACAUUCACCAUCUUUCAGGUCACAUUCCCCAAUAGACAUCUUUCAGGUCACAUUCACCAUUAGACAUCUUUCAGGUCACAUUCACCAUUAGACAUCUUUCAGGUCACAUUCCCCAUUAGACAUCUUUCAGGUCACAUUCCCCAAUAGACAUCUUUCAGGUCACAUUCACCAUUAGACAUCUUUCAGGUCACAUUCACCAAUAGACAUCUUUCAGGUCACAUUCACCAUUAGACAUCUUUCAGGUCACAUUCACCAAUAGACAUCUUUCAGGUCACAUUCCCCAAUAGACAUCUUUCAGGUCACAUUCACCAUUAG